AGAGAAACAAAGAGGAAUUGCUGCUUUAAUCCAGAAGGAAUGCAUUUCAAGCGAGGUGUAACAACUCAAAGAAUGAGAAUUGUUCAUAUCAUUAUACUGCUCCUUUUCGGGUUGGGUUUAAUGGGAUCAGCUGGGCAUAUUACAGAAUUAUAUUUUAGAUCUGAAUCUUAUAAGUUCCUCCUUAAAAUAUGACCUGAAUAAAUGAACUCUCAGAAGACUCAGUAAAUAUCACAAAAUAUCCCUGAGAUCAUAAUACUGUAUGAUGAGACUUUACAUAAAAAGUCUGCGAAAUUCCUUAAUAAUAUUCUUCCUCAUAUUGCCACAUUGUAACAUUUAUUUUUUUAAAGAUCCCCCUCCAACCCACACAUUUGCAUGGACACAUAUUCUGAAGAUUUCUCUCCCUCUUCCCUGAGGAGAAUGAAAGCACCUACUACUCAUUCUGAUACCUCUUCAAUAGUGACAACAGACUUCCUCUAUUACAUUCUUUGGGUUCUCUGUACUAUUGUCUUAAUAAUUUUUAACACAGAGGGAAUAGUGAUUUUGCUUACAUGCAGGUUUGGAUUGUUAAAUCUUUCAUAGUUAGUGGGGAGUCACUGUAGUGAGGGAGAGGUAGCAAGUUCACCACGCUGUUUUCUAUCAAACCAAGGUCAAAAGAAUGCUGAAUAAUAUUUGGCAUGGAAAUGUACUGAAUAGAUGCUUUAUUUAUUGCAGCUGUUGUGAUCCUGUGGCUUUAGGGCUCCCUAGAACACCAGAUGAGACGGGAAUGAAGUCUUCCCGGUGGUACACUUGCCCAUGGGAAACGGGAGGAGGCAGUGCUGAGUUCAUGUGCCCUGUGGACCAAAGGAACUCUUAUUUUCUUUUGGCGCGCUUCACUAAAUCCAAGUAUGUCCCUUAACAUUUCUGAUAAGCCUCAAAACUGCUACUUCUUUAUAACUUCAUUACAUAUUCUCCUGAGAAAAAUGGUUCUGGGUCAGCCGUUGGGUAAGUUGCCAGAAUUCUGUAGCACGUAAGAAAAGUUGAGUCAGACAUGACCUAUGCUUCGUGUCCAGAGACAACCAAGGCUUUUUGUCUGGCCUCUAGUUUUAUAGACUCAACCACAGAAAAACAGAGACAGUUCUAAAGCGGCAACUGUUUAAAAGGGCAAAUCAGGACUCUGUAAAGGAAACGGGUGGCUUACAAAAUGUAAAAUCUCAAAUCAUUCUAGAGUUCCUGUGUUGCUCCUUUACACAAGCAGCUAAUUAUGAAUGUUCUAGAUUGCUGAGAAAGAACUUUUAAAAAAAUGCUAAAAUUACUAUAUUCAUAUAAUUGGAGUUUCAGGAAUCAGUUAAAAAGUGCAGUCUACGUAUUGGUUCAUGUGAACUUUUCUUGCUCAAACUAAUUGGCUUGAAUAAGAAUAGACUCAACUGGAUUAAGAAUUAAUUCAAAUACUUAAACAAAGGGUAAUGUUACAUGGAGUGUAUUCAGUUUGGGGGGAAGGGGCGUGGCUAGUGGGAAGGCACAAUGGAAAUGCUAGAUACAGUGUUAUUUAGCAUCUUUAUGAAUGAUGUGAAAGAGGAGCUAUAAAGCACGUUAACGGCAUUAUAGAAGAGUCCCAACCAAAAGGUUUGUAGGUAUCAUAAAACUUGGAGAAAUAAUAUCUACUGACCUAAGAAUAUUUUUUAAUAGGAGGAGAUGUAAAACUGAAUAUCGGGAGUCAACGAUUAGAAAAAACGACAGAAUAUAUCUUUCAAAAGAGCAUACAAUAUUCUUAUGUGACUAAAUAUGAGAUAAUUGAGAGAUAUUGAACAAUAGUCAAAGAACUUAAAAAUAAUAAUGCUCCCAAAUGCCACCUCCCACCCCUCCCCUCCUCAAAGCUAUGGGGAUAUGCGGAGGUCACCCCACACCAAGUAUUCCAUUGGAAACACCAUUGGAAUACUGCAGCUUCACCAUUAGGUGCCAAGAGGCGUGUUUGAUCCCCAGAGGUUCCCACCCAUUUUUCACCAUCCUAAAGCAACAAGCUGGACUGCUGCUUGCUCUGGGUAAUGAUCUCACAAACACGUGCCACUGGUCACAAAGAGGAUCAGAAAGAGGGUGGCAGACUUAACAAGGACUCAUGACUACCACGGAAAAACAACUGGAGUUCAUCUCUUUGAGAUCCUAGGCCAUUUCCGUGUACACAAGGGAACACCUCACACAUGAGAGGGAAACGUGGAAAGGAGUUCAGAGAACAGUGCUGAGAGCAACUCGAAAGGGCUGGAAGAUUUCAAACACUUAUUAGGACACCACAAUGGUCGGAGAGUCCCUUACGAGAGAUCCAGAGCAUUGAUCUUCCUUAUUAUGCCUGUUUCAGAGCUAUCCUGAAAUGCACAGAUUUGUUCUAGUUGUACUAUGAAGGAAAAAAUCACAGGAACCAUCCGUGGAGCAGAAGAGCAGCAAUCUAUUUCUCCUACAAGUCCACUGAAUACAGUACCCGCAAGGCACGUUGAAGGAAAUCUGAGCAUUCUCUGCCUAGCACAUCCAAAGGCGGCAGUUUAUGAAAACACACCACCGAAAGGUCGUCAAAGAGAAAUGGCAGAGCAAAGAAGAACUAUAAAGCCCCAAGCAGUCCGGCUGCCUCUUCCAUCCCACAUCUCGCCCCACACCAGGGCCCUCCUUGCACUCUCUGAUCCUGCCAUCAUGGAGAAUACUCACUAACACUCUUUCAGCCUGAAAAGAUUCAGUCCCUGACUGCCACCCAUCUUUACCUAGUUAAUACCUAAUCAUUAUUUAGAUAUCCACUCCAUUUCACUUCCUGGGUGGACACUUGCCCGACCUUCCUGACCAGAUCAAAUCAACUACGAGUUCUCCUAACACUCUGCACUUCUCCCUUGUCUUAUACCUCACAGGUGUGAUUUUAUUUUUAUCUGUGCAAAUAUUUGAUUACAUUCCAUCUUCCUCAAGCCCCAGGAGGAGACAAAUCCUAUCUGGUUUUGCUCACUAUCAUUUCCCCAAAGCUUAGUGUAGUUCCUAGCACUUGAAAGCACUCAAUGAUCAUUUGACAACUGAAUGAAUGAAUGAACACAUGAAUUAUUUUCACUUUUUAUGGAAAUGAUUGGUGUUGUAUAGAUACAAUUAAUUGUUAGUUCUAGUCUUGAGAUAGAUGAAGAUUGCUGCAGCAUCCUCUAUGUAAAAAUUUGAUAUGUACUUGAAACCUUUUCUCCAAGAGUAAAUAUUUCUAUUCUCUGAGCACAUCAGUGAUUAGCCACAAACUAUAAGUUCAUGUACACUCAUGCAAAAACAAGUUAUAUAUUUCUGGAUUACCUAUAGUUCCUUUAAUCAUCUUCAGGGCUUAUUUAUAUGUGUCAAUAGAUCAUAACAUUAAUAUAUUUUGAACCAUUCAAUAGCAAUAGCAUUUGAAUAUUAUAUAUUGCAUGUAUGUCAGUUAUCAAUGCUGAUGGCAGAGAACCAAAGUAAAUCCUACAUAUAUAAAGCCAUCUAGACUUUGAAAUUUAGAGAGUGUUAUUGUCAUAUCAGGACCAAAAAUCCCACUGAGGCACAUAAAUUCAUAAAGCAUUUCAUAUUCUUUAAUUGCUCCUUAUUCUACAAUUCUAUAAACUAUCCUUUACUCCAUGAUUUUAGUCCAUGCUUUUUGCUGGUAUUAUAGGUAUAAUUAUGUAUAAUGUCAGUCUCUUUCCUUAUCUAUAAUGACUUUAGGAGUAGGAACUAAGUUCUGUUCAUUGUAUACCACCACCACCAAUUUACCCCACCAAAAACCAAGCACAGUGCUUUGGUAGUUAAAACACAACAUAUGCAUUUUAAAUGGAAGGGAGGAGAAAAAACAAGGUAUGAAAGAGAGGGAAGAAGGAAGGAAGAAAGAAAAAAAAAAGAAGAUAGAUACAAAAAGUCACCUUCCCAUUGACCAUAUUGUUUUGCUUGGUUUAGGCCAUUAGAUAAUUUCAACUAUGUGCAGCAGUUAUUUCACAAAAACAACAAUUUCUAAGGUUUCAUCACAAUAUGCAAUCAACUACUGACUAGAUUUUCACUCCUUCUCACUAUCUCUCUCCCUCAAUUUUCUGCCUAAAGUUCUCACACACAGUGAAAUAGUCAAAAUGUUGGACGCAAAAGAGAAACAUAAACAAAGCAGAGGCAUAUAAAACACAGAGUUGAAUAUAUUGUGUAUUAGGCUACAGUCUGCUGCCACCCUCCAGUGCCUCUGCCUGUGUCCAAAUGGAAGUUCGGGACCACUCGGUUCUACCAUGCUUCUCAUCCUUGCCAUUCUUUACUACUACUCAAAAGAGAGGCCCCGUUUUCUGUCUUUUUAUUUAUACCCCAAUUCUGCUCCCAACUCAUCUUCCUCUUGACAUCCCCACCAGCUCUUUCCUCGGGAGUAGCAGUUUCUCAUUCUUCCCCUCUCCGUUAACCACAAUGUGCACAAGACAAACAGUCUUCAUGUUCCCCAUAGCCUUUUCCAAACCACUGCUCCUUUACACUGACUUAAAAACAUGUCCCUUGAGACUCAUCCUAAAUCUCUCUGUGUGGCUCAUUACUCCUGGAUUUUUCCCAUUCCUUGGUUGAGGAUUAUGGCACCUGGCUCAGGAUAUUUGUCUCUCCCUGUCCCCAUCUCCAGCUGCUUUGGACAAUUUCAAUGUAUGUUAGGGUAACUCUUCCUGUAUUCUAGUUCCUUGAUUUCUUCGAUUCUGAUAACCAAACCAUUCUGCAACCCACUCCCAUAACCAUAUUCUUGCGGUAUCUAGGAUGUGAACAUAAAGUCCCAUGUGCCACUCUCCGACCACAGUCUCUCUGAUUCUCCCAGCACUUUCUCCCUUCUCUUCUCUCUCUCUCUCCAAUUGUUAAUGCAUUUACUCUUUCCAGACAUGUCUUGAAUAAUUCUAAUCCCUGCCCAUAUAUCAGCUCUCUUUUGUUUUCCUGUUUUGUUCCAACAUAAUCUCAGGGUUCAUUACACCAAUGAUCCCUUUGCCACUAUUUCCUGACUCUUGACCCAUUUGAACAUAGUCUUAUGUAUGUUACAAACAACCCAAAAUGAGAACAAAACAACAAAAGAAAACCUUUAUAUAACAUCUCCCAUUGGCUAUUAUCUUGUUUUUCUCCUUCCCUUCACAGUCAAAUAUCUUGUUAGAAUAAUCUGUCUUUUCCACAAUUCUUCACGCUGAAUUUGUUUUGAACCCACUACAAUCCGGCUUCUGUGCUUCAGAGUUGAUGCCUUCCCCACAGUCACCUAUCUGAGAAUACACUGCUUUUCACCCAGUGCCUCAUCAAAAGACAGUAGUUGCUUAUGUUCUCCCUUCCUUCCCAUCACCUACCAAGUUAUGCUGAUGCAUUAUGAAGUACCAUAAACUAACAUUCAUUGAACCGAUGCUAUGUGCCAGGCUCUAUGCUAAGUGUUUUACAUUUAAUCCACACAACAACUCUAUAGAGUAUAUAGUACAAGUAUUACUUCCAUUUUAAAGAUAUGGGAAGUAUAACUAGAGAUGAUAGACUAGGCCUAGGUCCUUCUACCUCCUCAACAUCUCUUGGAUCCAUCCUCUCCUCUCUUUCCCCACUGUCACUGCCUUGUACCAGCUCAUCAAGGGGCUCCCCUCCUCACUGCUUUCCUUGGCCCAUUUUGUGUCUCCCAUCCAUGCUCACUGCUAUCAGAGACCCCUCUAAAUUUCACAGCUGAUCAUGUACCCCCUUGCUUAAAUACCUCCACAGGUGCCCCUUAAAUAUCAGACUAAAACUCAGUCAUCAGACCUAUCACACAAAUCUGUUCACAGUCUGCCCCUUGCCUGUCUCCCUGCCCUCAACUUAUGCCACUUCCUCCUUCCCCAACACCCAAAAGGAAUUAGUUAUUAUUCCCUGACAGUAUCGCUCUAUGGCCACUGCCUGAAGUACACUUUCAUCUGACUAAUUUUUAUUCAUUCUUGAAAACUCAGGUCCAGCACAGGCCAUCCAAAAAGGCUUUGUGAUGCCUAGUGGAGAGGCCAUUCUCCACCAGUGUGACUUCCUGCCUUGCCCUCAGAGCACAGAGUUACACGUCACUCUCUCACUCUCACCCAUGAUCUCCCGUAGGGCUACCAGGACUGUGCUUUUCUCCACUUUGAACCACCAGUUCCACUCACAGUGCCUGUCAAUAGAGAGGAACUCAAAUAUUUACUUCUCAAUAUCUUCCUUCUAAUUUAGCUGUCCUAAUUUGAACUCACACAUCAAAAGAAUGUUUUUCAAAAUCUAUCAUCCACCUAAGGAAAUUUUUUUGAUCAUUUUCUAAGUACAAGAAAUGAUGUUUUGAUAAGUUAACACUCCUAACGAAGACAGCAUCCAUGAAUUUAGAGUAAAACAGACAUCAUUUGCUUGUUUUGAUGGGCAAGUCAUUUGAUUGCCAGCAAUUAUCUUAUAUGUGUGUAGAUAUUUCUGCACAUGUGCCGUUUACUGCAUUUCAAAGUCUGGUAUUUUUAAAGGUAUAUAGAUUUCUAGUUUAAAAUGUCUAACAGAUACUGCAAUAUCUUUAUUUUAAAUAAUUUUUUAAGUAAUUGCAAAACAUUUCUGCGCAAAAUACAAAGUCUUUACAAAUAUUAGUCUAUACACAACUGAGUGAGAAGACCACUAUUUGCAUGUAAAUCAGUCAGCUUAAUGGUGGAUUUCAGGUCUCCUGAGAACUAUUCAACAUACAGCAACGAACAAAUUGAAUGGUGCCACAUUGUUCUCACAAAAGAUAAUAAACAUGGCUUUAUAACCCUGUUCUUUGAUGUAAUCUCCUCUUCUACCAUUAUUUGGUUUAUCAAAUACAUUCCUACAACUUUCACAUAUGUAUUCAUACUUUUAAAAAAUUAGGUACUGUAAUUAUUCACUCAUUUUCAACAUUCUUUAUGUGUCUAGUAAAAUACGUCCAGCAAAACACAUUUUGCCAUAAAAAUAUCUGAGAUUUCCCCCCACUAUAAUUAUCAACACCUUGAAGGUAAGCAUUAUCUAUUCCAACCAGUGUUCUUCAAUCAGAUUUUGUUCCCAUUCAUUCAUCUAACCUAGCUAAAACACCAGCUCCCAGCUCCAAGACAGCUUCCCAGCCACAGCUAAAUUAAUAAUAGAGUUCUCUGUUGAGGGUAGUACUUUCUAAAAUUACUUUCAAUUUAAUGAUUACAGAUGGAUUUGUGAUACACUUGCUUCAUGUGAAUCAUUUUUUUUAGUGAAUGAUACAAAUUAAAGUGGACAAUGAAACAUCCAAACACAGAGCCCCAGUUACUUAUUUUGCACAUAACUUAUACAUACCUUAAGCCGUGAAGCAAAAGCUUUUACUCUGACCAUGACUCAUACAGCAAACUUCCCAUAAUUCCUUGUUCUUCACAGUUGGAUAGAAUUGGCAAGCUGCUUGUCUGUGCCCCCAUUCCCUCAGUAAAAUAAAUUGACUCCCAGAGUUUCCUGGAAAGGCUGUAACUUUAUUUUCCAAUCUGAAAACAAUUAAUAAAGUACUCGGCAGUGAGUCCCAAAUAACACAAGACUAUUUCACCUUGGCGGAACAUACACUUCAUUGAACUAGAAAUGAUCUUCCCUUUCAAAACUCCCCCGAUUAAACUGAGUAAUACUGAAGUCACCCUGGAGCUCCACACUGAAAACUAACUCUAGUGCCUGAGCCUCACCUCCUUUAGCUUUGAAUUCUUGACAUGUUUUUAUCUUAAUACCAAACCUAUUGUGAGGGCUACAUGACCCUUUCAAGUUUGGGGUGUACUUAGGAAGAGAACUGGAUGACAUGCCAGAUGUCAACCACUUUCAGAGUAGUCUGAAAGUAGCAUUCUGCUAAAACAACGGUCAUUUCUAUACUGAUUCUCUCUCUUCCCACCACCCCUCUCCCCAAAUAACUAGCUCUCAAAAUGAAUAACUUCAACAAGGGAAUUACUGUCAAUCAAUGAGGUUGGACAGUCAUGAUGUCCUCAGCCUAUAGAAGA